GAACUGGUUGUCUGAAAUAGAUACUGCCCUCCUCACCCUCACUUCUACCACCCUUUCCUAAACUUUCAUGGUAUGACUUAGUAAUUUGAUACCCCUAUAGUAGUCACAACUCUUGAUAUCACCUUUGUUCUUGUACAAUGGCACCACCGUACUCCACCUCCACUCCUCCGGCAUCCUUUAUAUUCUGAAAAUAACAUUAAACAUCCCAGUCAGCCACUCCAAGCCUGUUCUACCCAUAGACCUCCAAAAUUCUACCGGGAUUUCGUCUGGUCCGGUAGCUCUGUCCCUGCUCAUCUUACGCAUAGCCUCCACGACCUCGCUAACCUUGAUACGCCCAUAAUAGGUAAAGUCACGGUGACUCUCAGCAUGACCCAAUUCACCUAGCACAAUAUUCCUGUUCCCUUCUUCAUUUAGAAGUUUAUGAAAGUAGGCUUGCCACCUUCACUUAAUUUGAUCAUCCCCCGUCAACACCCUACUGUCCUCGUCUUUAAUGCACCUCACUUGGU
rnacentral:lncRNA from 1 species